CUAGUAGAUCAAUCAAACUCUUAGCUCUUACUCCAGGUAUUACUCUUACCAUUUUUUCAUGCAUAAACAAGAAUCAAAAUCGAAAAUUGAGAGGUAAAAUGGUGCAAUUUUCGGAGAAAUUCAGGGGAUUUAUGAACGAUCGAUGGCUAGUUUUUGUAGCUUCGAUGUGGGUUCAGUCUUGUUCUGGAAUUGGGUAUUUGUUUGGAAGCAUAUCUCCAGUGAUCAAGAGUGGUAUGGGUUAUAACCAGAGGCAAAUUGCCUUAUUGGGUGUAGCUAAGGAUUUGGGUGAUGCCAUUGGGUUCCUAGCUGGUAUCUUGUGUGAAGUUUUGCCUAUUUGGGCUGUUCUGUUUAUUGGGGUUGUUCAGAAUUUUGUUGGGUAUGGUGUUGUUUGGUUGAUUGUUGCUCACAAAUUGCCUGCUUUGCCUCUUUGGGUGCUUUGCGUUUUAAUAUUUAUUGGGACUAAUGGUGAGACAUACUUCAAUACAGGAGCGUUAGUUUCCUGUGUACAGAAUUUUCCUAAAAGCCGUGGUCCAAUAGUGGGGAUACUUAAAGGAUUUGCUGGGCUAAGUGGUGCAAUUUUGACACAAGUUUAUGCUAUGUUCAACUUUCCUGAUCAAGCAUCCCUUGUUUUCAUGGUUGCUGUUGGGCCAUCAAUUGUAAUUACCGCUGUGAUGUUCUUGGUUAGACCUGUAGGUGGUCACAAACAAGUUAGACCUUCAGAUCAUUCGAGCUUCCUAUUUAUCUACAGCAUUUGCGUUAUCCUGGCAGCUUAUCUGUUGGCAGUUUUGCUUCUUCAGGAUUUAAGCAGUCUAAAUGAGAAUGUGGUAAUCUUUUUGACAAUUAUCUUACUUAUUUUAAUAGUGCUUCCGAUUAUUAUUCCUCUUUUUUUGGUUUUCUUCUCUGAACCAAGGCCGGUUUUGGAGGAGAGCCUUCUUCCUGAGCCAGAGAAACAAGGAUCCUCUAGAAUGGGGAGUUUCGUUCUCAGCCUCAGUGAGGUAGAAGAUGAGAGGUCUUCUGAGGAAGACACACUCCCACCAUCA
rnacentral:misc_RNA from 1 species